AUCAUAUUAUGGUGGGAAGCUGAAGGGAAGAAUGAUCGUAAACCAUACUAUAAGGCUCUUCCAAAUAUUAUAAUAUGAGAACUACAGAAGCACCAAAACCCCAACAACACAGGAAGAAAAGAGGUUAGUAAUCUAGAGGAUAAUUCACAAAGUGGCCACAGAUAUGCACAUACUGCUUAGAGUGAAAAAGCCUUAGAAGGAUUUUCCGAAGAAUUGUCUAGGAAAGUUAAAGGAGCUAGAAAAUUUCAAACCUAGGGUGAGGGUCAUUAAAGUGUUAAGGGAGUUUCCACCAUCAGGAUGGGUAAAAUACUUGUUGCGCCCAAACGUACACGCAAGUAUACGUGGUCCCAUAAUUAUGUCCAAACUACACCUCCUCUUAGAAGAUGAUAUGAUCUCUAUCAAAAUAUAGUAACCCAACAAAGGUUGGGGUCGAAUCCUAAGGAUACACGUGGAAUCGUGGCUCUCAACAGUUGUGGUCAACGGGCAGAACUGGAAAACUAAAUGGAGGGAUUUGUGUAGUAAUAUCAAACAAGUAACUAUAUCAACUUUGAUUGUAAGCAGUCGUAGGUGAACACUAGGAUUGUUCCCUCUGGAUUCUCA
rnacentral:lncRNA from 1 species